rnacentral:lncRNA from 1 species
GUGGAGUCAGGGUGGAGGUGGAUUUUGGAGCUUUAUUUUAUUGUUUUGUAUUUCAUUCAGGGCUUUUUAAAGUCCAUUUUGACUCCGUCAGUUUUUUUAAAGGUAAAGCUCAUUUGUUGAGGUGAAGAAGGAGAGAGUAAAAGGUACUGUAUCUUUCCUCUUAAUUGUUUGGCUUAGGUCUGAAACAUUUGAAAAAUAAACCUUUAAAAUGUUCUUAAAAAUAACAGUGUCUUAAUUAAAAAAAAAAAAAAGAAACAAAUUUUUUCCCUUUUUAUGGACUUCAGCUCAGCAGAUGAGGCAUCCUCUCUUAGUCUCUUCUGGAAUAAUCAGUUUCUUAUCUAAUAUAUAUGAUAUGAGCAAAUACAUCUUCAUUUGCAUCUUUACGCAAGAACAAUUGAUCAAAAAAUGGAAGCAGUGCUACAGAUCAGAAAAUCUUUUCAUUUAAAGCCUUUAAGUCACCAUUUAUUUCCAUCUAGUUAAGCUUAAUUUCCUUUUAUUGUGAUGUUCAAAUGAAAAUAUACAAUGCCACGUCUAAUUGUGUUAGCAUUUACAUUAAUAACCUGUAACUUUACAUAACAAAGAGCAAGAAGCAUCAAAAAGGCAGAAACAGAUGCAAUUAUUUGUUGCCAGCUAAGUUACUGUACGUGACCCAGGUGCUGUAGUACUAUUUGCAUGUGUUUCUCACCUUUGUUCACCCAGACACAUGGGGAUCUCAAGCUAUUGCUGACUAAUUGAUAGUUGUAGUAACUGCUAUAGGCUCCUUAGAUUAGAAAUGCAUGCAGACGUGUGUCUUGAUCCAAACAUUAAGGAACACACACUCUCACUUACUUACAUGGGCAGAAAGUCUUCAUACUAUUAGAGGUGUGUGAUGGAGAUAGCAGGACAUAAAACAGAAGAGAGAGAGAGACGCACACACACACAGACAGAGACAGAGAGAUGGCAUGCAGCAUAUAUACCCCUACAAAUAGUUCUAAAAUGCGUUUGCAAAUGCAGAAGUCUUCAGAACCAUCCAACAGUUCAGCACACCCUUUUUAUCUCUUCUCUGCGGGACGUCUCCAUCCAGAUUACUCGAAAAAAGCGGAAAAGGAGUAACUUGAUGACUUCAGUGGUAUAA